GCGGGCGUCGCCAAAUUGGCUCAUAGGCACCAGACUUAGAAUCUGGAGCGUGAGAGUUCGAGUCUCUCCGCCUGCA
rnacentral:tRNA from 1 species